rnacentral:snRNA from 1 species
AGCUUUGUGCAGUGGCAGUAUUGUACCAAUGAGGUUUAUCCAAGGUGUGAUUAUUGCUACUUAAAAAGUUGAUCAGUGCUGUGAUCCUAAUAGAUUUAAAAAAAUCACCUAACUUGGAAGACAGAGGUUUAAACAUGCAACAUGGAACUGUGAAAAAUGGAUAUCCAU